rnacentral:rRNA from 1 species
UACGUAGGGUGCAAGCGUUAAUCGGAAUUACUGGGCGUAAAGCGUGCGCAGGCGGUGAUGUAAGACAGUUGUGAAAUCCCCGGGCUCAACCUGGGAACUGCAUCUGUGACUGCAUCGCUGGAGUACGGCAGAGGGGGAUGGAAUUCCGCGUGUAGCAGUGAAAUGCGUAGAUAUGCGGAGGAACACCGAUGGCGAAGGCAAUCCCCUGGGCCUGUACUAACGCUCAUGCACGAAAGCGUGGGGAGCAAACAGG